AUUGAACGCUGGCGGAAUGCUUUACACAUGCAAGUCGAGCGGCAGCGCGGGGGCAACCCUGGCGGCGAGCGGCGAACGGGUGAGUAACACAUCGGAACGUACCCAGUUGAGGGGGAUAGCCCGGCGAAAGCCGGAUUAAUACCGCAUAAGUCCUGAGGGAGAAAGCGGGGGACCGCAAGGCCUCGCGCGAUUGGAGCGGCCGAUGUCGGAUUAGCUAGUUGGUGGGGUAAAGGCUCACCAAGGCGACGAUCCGUAGCUGGUCUGAGAGGAUGAUCAGCCACACUGGGACUGAGACACGGCCCAGACUCCUACGGGAGGCAGCAGUGGGGAAUUUUGGACAAUAGGCGCAAGCCUGAUCCAGCCAUUCCGCGUGAGUGAAGAAGGCCUUCGGUUGUAAGCUCUUCGUACGGAAAGGAAAGUACGCCCGGGUAAACGUAAA
rnacentral:rRNA from 1 species